rnacentral:rRNA from 1 species
GGCGGCGUGCCUAACACAUGCAAGUCGUACGAGAAAGUUGGCUUCGGCCGAUGAGUAAAGUGGCGCACGGGUGAGUAAUGCGUGGAUAAUCUGCCCUUUAGUUGGGAAUAACGUACCGAAAGGUGCGCUAAUACCUGAUAAUACUGCAUAACUACUGUUGUGUAGUCAAAGAAGGCCCCUGUUUACAAGCUUUUGCUGAAGGAUGAGUCCGCGUACCAUUAGCUGGUUGGUGGGGUAAUGGCCUACCAAGGCUACGAUGGUUAGCUGGUCUGAGAGGAUGAUCAGCCACACUGGAACUGAGACACGGUCCAGACUCCUACGGGAGGCAGCAGUGAGGAAUAUUGCGCAAUGGGGGCAACCCUGACGCAGCAACGCCGCGUGAGUGAGGAAGGUUUUCGGACCGUAAAGCUCUGUCGAGCGGGAAGAAAUGUAUCAUGGCUAAUAUCCAUGAUACUUGACGGUACCGCUAAAGGAAGCACCGGCUAACUCCGUG